UGGAGAGUUUGAUCCUGGCUCAGGACGAACGCUGGCGGCGUGCUUAACACAUGCAAGUCGAACGGAAAGGCCCCUUCGGGGGUACUCGAGUGGCGAACGGGUGAGUAACACGUGGGUGAUCUGCCCUGCACUUCGGGAUAAGCCUGGGAAACUGGGUCUAAUACCGGAUAGGACCACGGGAUGCAUGUCCUGUGGUGGAAAGCUUUUGCGGUGUGGGAUGGGCCCGCGGCCUAUCAGCUUGUUGGUGGGGUGACGGCCUACCAAGGCGACGACGGGUAGCCGGCCUGAGAGGGUGUCCGGCCACACUGGGACUGAGAUACGGCCCAGACUCCUACGGGAGGCAGCAGUGGGGAAUAUUGCACAAUGGGCGCAAGCCUGAUGCAGCGACGCCGCGUGGGGGAUGACGGCCUUCGGGUUGUAAACCUCUUUCACCAUCGACGAAGGUCCGGGUUUCUCGGAUUGACGGUAGGUGGAGAAGAAGCACCGGCCAACUACGUGCCAGCAGCCGCGGUA
rnacentral:rRNA from 1 species